rnacentral:tRNA from 1 species
UGGACUAUAGCUCAGUGUUAAGAGCAUUUAACUGGUAUGCCAAGGCCCUGGGUUCAAUCCCCAGUACCAA